AUACGGAGGGUGCAAGCGUUAAUCGGAAUUACUGGGCGUAAAGGGCGCGUAGGCGGUCUAUCAAGUCAGGUGUGAAAUCCCACGGCUCGACCGUGGAGGUGCAUCUGAAACUGAUAGACUUGAGUAUGGGAGAGGAAAGUGGAAUUCCCGGUGUAGAGGUGAAAUUCGUAGAUAUCGGGAGGAACACCAGUGGCGAAGGCGACUUUCUGGACCAAUACUGACGCUGAGGCGCGAAAGCGUGGGGAGCAAACAGGAUUAGAAACCCUAGUAGUCC
rnacentral:rRNA from 1 species